AUGGCCAAGUUCAUUCGCAACUUCAUGGAGAAGGCCCUGAUGCUGAUGACCGCUGCCGCGACUUACCCGAAGCCUCGAUUGGCCACAUUUUGGCUAUGCCAAGGUUGAGCUAGUUCUCCCCGAGCCCUGCUGAAAUCCCUAUAGCUAUUCAGAGCAUGAAAAAAAAUAUCAAAGUGCUAAAACUGGUAGCUUCAAACACCUUUCGGUUAAGGAAGCUGUGCUGGACAGUUUGGUGGCCACUGAGGUGUGGAUGUGGUUUUAUAUCUGAGAGAUCAUAGGCAAACACGGCAUUGUUGGCUAUGAGGUUUGAAGACCAAUCUUUAACUUCUGAUUUGAGUUUUUAUUUGAAUGUUCUUGGACCAUGUAUAAUGAGACUGCUGUCUGAAUAA
rnacentral:lncRNA from 1 species